rnacentral:rRNA from 1 species
CCUACGGGAGGCAGCAGUGGGGAAUAUUGCACAAUGGGGGAAACCCUGAUGCAGCGACGCCGCGUGAGGGAAGAAGUAAUUCGGUAUGUAAAGCUCUAUCAGCAGGGAAGAAAAUGACGGUACCUGAGUAAGAAGCCCCGGCGAACUACGUGCCAGCAGCCGCGGUAAUACGUAGGGGGCAAGCGUUAACCGGAUUUACUGGGUGUAAAGGGAGCGUAGACGGCAGGGCAAGUCUGGAGUGAAAGGCGGGGGCUCAACCCCCGGACUGCUCUGGAAACUGUACGGCUGGAGUGCAGGAGAGGUAAGUGGAAUUCCUAGUGUAGCGGUGAAAUGCGUAGAUAUUAGGAGGAACACCAGUGGCGAAGGCGGCUUACUGGCCUGUAACUGACGUUGAGGCUCGAAAGCGUGGGGAGCAAACAGGAUUAGAUACCCCUGUAGUC